AAAGAAACCAACAGGGAUUGCCCUAGUAACGGCGAGUGAAGCGGCAACAGCUCAAAUUUGAAAUCUGGCUCUCGGGCCCGAGUUGUAAUUUGUAGAGGAUGCUUUUGAUGCGGUGCCUUCCGAGUUCCCUGGAACGGGACGCCAUAGAGGGUGAGAGCCCCGUCUGGUUGGAUGCCAAAUCUCUGUAAAGCUCCUUCGACGAGUCGAGUAGUUUGGGAAUGCUGCUCUAAAUGGGAGGUAUAUGUCUUCUAAAGCUAAAUACCGGCCAGAGACCGAUAGCGCACAAGUAGAGUGAUCGAAAGAUGAAAAGCACUUUGAAAAGAGAGUUAAAAAGUACGUGAAAUUGUUGAAAGGGAAGCGUUUAUGACCAGACUUGGGCUUGGUUAAUCAUCUGGGGUUCUCCCCAGUGCACUUUUCCAGUCCAGGCCAGCAUCAGUUUUCGCCGGGGGAUAAAGGCUUCGGGAAUGUGGCUCUCUCCGGGGAGUGUUAUAGCCCGUUGCGUAAUACCCUGGCGGGGACUGAGGUUCGCGCAUCUGCAAGGAUGCUGGCGUAAUGGUCAUCAACGACCCGUCUUGAAACACGGACCAAGGAGUCGUCUUCGUAUGCGAGUGUUCGGGUGUCAAACCCCUACGCGUAAUGAAAGUGAACGCAGGUGAGAGCUUCGGCGCAUCAUCGACCGAUCCUGAUGUUCUCGGAUGGAUUUGAGUAAGAGCAUACGGGGCCGGACCCGAAAGAAGGUGAACUAUGCCUGUGUAGGGUGAAGCCAGAGGAAACUCUGGUGGAGGCUCGCAGCGGUUCUGACGUGCAAAUCGAUCGUCAAACAUGGGCAUGGGGGCGAAAGACUA
rnacentral:rRNA from 1 species